AGCUACAUUCAGCAUCGUGCAAUUUGAUGGUUGUGAAAUACGUACAGACAGUAGGAACGUGCCCUUUGUGUCUUAUGCAAAAAUAGUUGACGCUGUACAUAGACAGCAACAAAGAUUUUCUUUGAGGCUUUUAAAAUAUUAUUCUAAAACAGAUUGCAAAUUAACCAAGCGUUGCUGCACAGAGCAAAGAAGCUGAGAUGUGGCGCGUGCCUCCUCCUGAGCAUCCCAUGGGAUAGUUCCUGCAGGCUCAGCCCCGAGCACGGCAGGCAGCUCCUCUGCCAACCCCAGCUCCUGCAGUUUUAAGCCUCUGGAACAAGAUUGUCAUGUUUGUCUGCAGGAGAGGGAAGAUGUCACCCCUUCUAGUGUCGAAAAAACACCUUCCUAAAUGCAG